GUGCCCUAGAGAUGAAACGGUACCCAAAAAUAACUACAUCCGUCACUUUGUCAGCUAUGUUGAUUUCUUCUCUAUUUAUAGCUGAUCAUUCUAAGAUGCAACAUUC
rnacentral:snoRNA from 1 species